CACACUGGGACUGAGACACGGCCCAGACUCCUACGGGAGGCAGCAGUGGGGAAUAUUGGACAAUGGGGGCAACCCUGAUCCAGCCAUGCCGCGUGAGUGACGAAGGCCUUAGGGUUGUAAAGCUCUUUCGCCGGGGACGAUGAUGACGGUACCCGGAGAAGAAGCCCCGGCUAACUCCGUGCCAGCCGCCGCCGUAACAC
rnacentral:rRNA from 1 species